rnacentral:rRNA from 1 species
GACGAACGCUGGCGGCGUGCUUAACACAUGCAAGUCGAACGGUAAGGCCCUUCGGGGUACACGAGUGGCGAACGGGUGAGUAACACGUGGGUGAUCUGCCCUGCACUUCGGGAUAAGCCUGGGAAACUGGGUCUAAUACCGGAUAGGACAACUGCCUGCAUGGGGAGGGGUGGAGAGCUUUGGCGGUGUGGGAUGGGCCCGCGGCCUAUCAGCUUGUUGGGGGGGUGAUGGCCUACCAAGGCGACGACGGGUAGCCGGCCUGAGAGGGUGACCGGCCACACUGGGACUGAGAUACGGCCCAGACUCCUACGGGAGGCAGCAGUGGGGAAUAUUGCACAAUGGGCGCAAGCCUGAUGCAGCGACGCCGCGUGAGGGAUGACGGCCUUCGGGUUGUAAACCUCUUUCAGCACCGACGAAGCGCAAGUGACGGUAGGUGCAGAAGAAGGACCGGCCAACUACGUGCCAGCAGCCGCCGUAA